rnacentral:rRNA from 1 species
UCUAGCUACAGGCUUAACACAUGCAAGUCGAGGGGCAUCAGGAAGAAAGCUUGCUUUCUUUGCUGGCGACCGGCGCACGGGUGAGUAACACGUAUCCAACCUGCCCUUUACUCGGGGAUAGCCUUUCGAAAGAAAGAUUAAUACCCGAUAGCAUAAUGAUUCCGCAUGGUUUCAUUAUUAAAGGAUUCCGGUAAAGGAUGGGGAUGCGUUCCAUUAGGUUGUUGGUGAGGUAACGGCCCACCAAGCCUUCGAUGGAUAGGGGUUCUGAGAGGAAGGUCCCCCACAUUGGAACUGAGACACGGUCCAAACUCCUACGGGAGGCAGCAGUGAGGAAUAUUGGUCAAUGGGCGCUAGCCUGAACCAGCCAAGUAGCGUGAAGGAUGAAGGCUCUAUGGGUCGUAAACUUCUUUUAUAUAAGAAUAAAGUGCAGUAUGUAUACUGUUUUGUAUGUAUUAUAUGAAUAAGGAUCGGCUAACUCCGUGCCAGCAGCCGCGGUAAUACGGAGGAUCCGAGCGUUAUCCGGAUUUAUUGGGUUUAAAGGGAGCGUAGGUGGACUGGUAAGUCAGUUGUGAAAGUUUGCGGCUCAACCGUAAAAUUGCAGUUGAUACUGUCAGUCUUGAGUACAGUAGAGGUGGGCGGAAUUCGUGGUGUAGCGGUGAAAUGCUUAGAUAUCACGAAGAACUCCGAUUGCGAAGGCAGCUCACUGGACUGCAACUGACACUGAUGCUCGAAAGUGUGGGUAUCAAACAGGAUUAGAUACCCUGGUAGUCCACACAGUAAACGAUGAAUACUCGCUGUUUGCGAUAUACAGUAAGCGGCCAAGCGAAAGCAUUAAGUAUUCCACCUGGGGAGUACGCCGGCAACGGUGAAACUCAAAGGAAUUGACGGGGGCCCGCACAAGCGGAGGAACAUGUGGUUUAAUUCGAUGAUACGCGAGGAACCUUACCCGGGCUUAAAUUGCAGUGGAAUGAUGUGGAAACAUGUCAGUGAGCAAUCACCGCUGUGAAGGUGCUGCAUGGUUGUCGUCAGCUCGUGCCGUGAGGUGUCGGCUUAAGUGCCAUAACGAGCGCAACCCUUAUCUUUAGUUACUAACAGGUUAUGCUGAGGACUCUAGAGAGACUGCCGUCGUAAGGUGUGAGGAAGGUGGGGAUGACGUCAAAUCAGCACGGCCCUUACGUCCGGGGCUACACACGUGUUACAAUGGGGGGUACAGAAGGCAGCUAGCGGGUGACCGUAUGCUAAUCCCAAAAUCCUCUCUCAGUUCGGAUCGAAGUCUGCAACCCGACUUCGUGAAGCUGGAUUCGCUAGUAAUCGCGCAUCAGCCACGGCGCGGUGAAUACGUUCCCGGGCCUUGUACACACCGCCCGUCAAGCCAUGGGAGCCGGGGGUACCUGAAGUACGUAACCGCAAGGAUCGUCCUAGGGUAAAACUGGUGACU